UCUAGUCUUCACACAACAAGUUUCUCCUGAUUUACAAAUGUGAUCUACAGCAAGUUAGCAGGUGUGUUAUAUUGUCAAUCAGAAUAUUGGGUAAUUUUUUGAUGCACAAACGUAGAGAAGAUGAUGAAUUAGCUAUCAUCGAAGCUUUGUAUGCUAAUGAUAGAAGCUCGGCCAACCACACACGUAUACAUACAUCCAUCCUUACGGGAGAUCGAUACGUGCGAGAAGUUCUAGAAGGUCAUGAAUUGAGAUGCAAACGAGAUUUUCGGAUGGAGCAGUAUAUUUUUCAUAACUUAGUCCAGUGCCUUCGAGAAAGAUGCCAUCUAAGAGAUACAAAUUUUGUCUCAGUGAAAGAACAAGUAGGCAUAUUUUUAUAUGCCGUUUCAAAGAAUGCAACCAAUCGUACACUCCAAGGGCAAUUUCAGCAUAGUGGUGAGGUCAUAAGUCGCUAUUUCCAUAUUGUGUUGAACGCCCUCAUGAUAUUGUCAGGAAGUAUAAUACAGUUGCCUCCAAUUAAUGUUCCUCUCAAAGUUGCAAGCAAUACAAAAUUUAUGCCAUAUUUCAAGGAUUGUAUUGGAGCAAUAGAUGGAACACAUAUUCCAAUUAGCAUAUCUCCAAAAUGACCAAGAUCCAUAUCGUAACAGAAAGGGAACACUGUCACAAAAUGUUAUGGUUGCAUGUGAUUUUGAUAAUCGUUUCGUCCAUGUCAGCAGCGGAUGGGAAGGUUCCGCUUCUGACGCUCGUGUUCUACAAGAUGCUCUUGAAAAUAACUUCUAUGUCCCCGAAGGAAAGUUUUAUUUGGUGGAUGCUGGUUAUGCGAAUAUGCCUAAUUUUAUUGCACCUUAUUGCAAUGUAAGGUACCAUUUGGUGGAGCAGGCUAAAUGCAAUCAGCGGCCGCAGAAUCCUCGAGAACUAUUCAACCUGAGGCAUGCACAACUUCGUAAUCAUGUUGAGCGUAUAAUUGGAGUUCUUAAGAAGCGUUUCCCAAUACUAAAAUGUGCAUCGCAAUACCCCAUCGACUCGCAAGCAGAAAUUGCGAUAGCAUGUUGUGCUCUUCAUAAUUUCAUUUGUAGUAAUGAGGGUGGCGAACAAUGGUUGGACCAAGUUGAAUCAGAGAUUGAUCCAGUAAAAAUAAUUGAUGUUCCAAGUGGAGAUAUGAAGUAUACAAAUGACAUACAUUCUCUCAAUGAGCGACGAGCACUAGGUAGCACAAAAAGGGAUGAAAUAGCCAAUGCCAUGUGGAAUGACUAUCAAGACUAUCUCAGACGGACUAGAAGAAAUACUGCAUGACUUUCAUUUGCUCUCCUUUUUAUAUAUGUUUUUGUUCAGAAGUGUACUGAAUAAAAUAAAUUCAUACAUUUUAGCAA